UACGGAGGGUGCAAGCGUUGUCCGGAUUUAUUGGGUUUAAAGGGUGCGUAGGCGGAACUGUAAGUCAGGGGUGAAAGCCUGCGGCUUAACCGUAGAAUUGCCUUUGAUACUGCAGAUCUUGAGUCCCGGAGAGGCCAUUAGAAUUCGUGGUGUAGCGGUGAAAUGCGUAGAUAUCACGAGGAAUACCAGAAGCGUAGGCGGAUGGCUGGACGGGCACUGACGCUGAGGCACGAAAGCGUGGGGAGCAAACAGG
rnacentral:misc_RNA from 1 species